rnacentral:rRNA from 1 species
AUGUGCAGCCAGGCGGACCCGACGCUGACGUGCCCGCCGCCGUCGCAGGGGCGGCUCAUCACGGUGCUGAGCAUCGACGGCGGCGGCAUCCGCGGUCUCAUCCCCUCCACCAUCCUCGCAUGUCUCGAGUCCAAGCUCCAAGAGCUGGACGGGCCGGACGCGCGCAUCGCGGACUACUUCGACGUGAUCGCCGGGACGAGCACGGGCGCGCUGGUCACGUCGAUGCUGGCGGCGCCGGGCGAGAACAAGCGGCCGCUAUUCGAGGCCAAGGACAUCAACAAAUUCUACCUCGAGAAUGGGCCCAAGAUUUUCCCGCAGAAGAGGUUGGGGUUCCUGACCCCGAUGGCGAACCUGUUCGGCGCAGUGAACGGUCCCAAGUACGACGGCAAGUUUCUGCACGACAAGAUCAAGAGCCUCACCAACGACGUGACCGUCGCCGACACUGUCACCAACAUCAUCGUCCCGACGUUCGACAUCAAGUACCUGCAGCCGGUCAUCUUCAACACAUACGAGGCCAAGGUGGACCCGCUCAAGAACGCGCACCUCUCGGACAUCUGCAUCAGCACGUCCGCGGCGCCCACCUACUUCCCAGCGCACUACUUCACCACCCGCGACCCCGCGGGCAAGCUGCCGGACCGUGAGUACCACCUCAUCGACGGUGGCGUGGCCGCCAACAACCCCACCAUGGCCGCCAUGUCCAUGAUCACCAAGGAAGUGUUGCGCCGGAACCCGGACUUCACGCACGGCAAGCCCGCCGAGUACCACAGGUACCUCAUCAUCUCCAUCGGCACAGGGACGGCCAAGCAGGCGGAGAAGUACACCGCGCCGGACUGUGCCAAGUGGGGCGUCCUCCGCUGGCUCUAUGACAGUGGCUUCACCCCACUUAUCGACAUUUUCUCUCAUGCAAGCGCCGACAUGGUCGACAUCCACGCUGCUAUAUUGUUCCAGGCUCUCAACAUUGAGAAGAACUACCUACGCAUCCAGGAUGACUCGCUCACGGGCCACACGUCCUCGGUGGAUAUCUCCACCAAGGCGAACAUGGAGGCGCUCAUAGGGAUCGGCAACAUGUUGCUCAAGAAGAAAGUUGCCCGGGUGAACAUUGACACGGGGGUGUACGAGCCCGUCGACGAUGAGGGCACCAACGAAGAGGCGUUGGCUCACUUUGCCAAGAAGCUCUCCGACGAGCGCAAGUUGCGGCUAAGCCAAACCACCCUCAACUCCCAAUAG